rnacentral:rRNA from 1 species
AAUACCCAAUCCUGACACAGGGAGGUAGUGACAAGAAAUAACAAUACGGGACAAGUCUUGUAAUUGGAAUGAUGGAGAUAUAAAUCUCUUCCAGAGUAGCAAUUGGAGGGCAAGUCUGGUGCCAGCAGCCGCGGUAAUUCCAGCUCCAAUAGCGUAUAUUAAAAUUGUUGCAGUUAAAGAGCUCGUAGUUGAAUUUUUGCUGGUUAUUACAAAUUACCUCUUGGUCGAUUGUAAUUACCCGGCAUUUAUCGAUAUAUUAGCAUUAGUUAAUUUGUCGAUAGGUUACUUUGAGAAAAUUAGAGUGCUUAAAGCAGGCAGUGCCUUGAAUAAUUUAGCAUGGAAUAACAUAGUAGGACUUUGGUUCUAUUUUGUUGGUUUUAGGAACCAAAGUAAUGGUUAAUAGGAACAGUUGGGGGCAUUCGUAUUUAAA